GCGAACGCUGGCGGCAGGCUUAACACAUGCAAGUCGAGCGCCCGGGCAACCGGGAGCGGCAGACGGGUGAGUAACACGUGGGAACGUGCCCUUUGGUUCGGAACAACCCAGGGAAACUUGGGCUAAAACCGGAUAAGCCCUUACGGGGAAAGAUUUAUCGCCGAAGGAUCGGCCCGCGUCUGAUUAGCUAGUUGGUGGGGUAACGGCCCACCAAGGCGACGAUCAGUAGCUGGUCUGAGAGGAUGAUCAGCCACACUGGGACUGAGACACGGCCCAGACUCCUACGGGAGGCAGCAGUGGGGAAUAUUGGACAAUGGGGGAAACCCUGAUCCAGCCAUGCCGCGUGAGUGAUGAAGGCCCUAGGGUUGUAAAGCUCUUUCGACGGGGAGGAAGGCACCGGCGCGAAUAGCGUUGGUGAUUGACGUAACCUGGAGAAGAAGCACCGGCUAACUCCGU
rnacentral:rRNA from 1 species